UACAUGGGGUGCAAACGUUGCUCGGAAUCAUUGGGCGUAAAGCGCGCGUAGGCGGUUACUUAAGUUGGAUGUGAAAGCCCUCGGCUUAACCGAGGAAGUGCAUCCAAAACUGAGUAGCUAGAGUACGAAAGAGGGUCGCGGAAUUCCCGGUGUAGAGGUGAAAUUCGUAGAUAUCGGGAGGAACACCGGUGGCGAAGGCGAGUCCCUGGACAACUACUGACACUGAGGCACGAAAGCUAGGGGAGCAAACAGG
rnacentral:rRNA from 1 species